CCUACGGGAGGCUGCAGUGAGGAAUAUUGGUCAAUGGACGGAAGUCUGAACCAGCCAUGCCGCGUGCAGGAAGACGGCGCUAUGAGUUGUAAACUGCGUUUGUAGAAGGGAAAACCUGAAUACGUGUAUUCAGCUGAAAGUACUGUACGAAUAAGGAUCGGCUAACUCCGUGCCAGCAGCCGCGGUAAUACGGAGGAUCCAAGCGUUAGCCGGAUUGAGGGGGUUUAAAGGGUGCGUAGGCGGCUUGAGAAGGUAGAGGUGCAAUGUCCGCGCUGAACGCGGGAACUGCCUCUAAUACGGGUGUUCUAGAGCGUAGAUGCGGUAGGCGGCAUGUCUGUUGUAGCGGU
rnacentral:rRNA from 1 species